GACGAACGCUGGCGGCGUGCUUAACACAUGCAAGUCGGACGGUCUGUAUAUUGAAAGCUUGCUGGAUAUGUACGGAUAGUGGCGGACGGGUGAGUAACGCGUGAAUACCUGGCCAUCGGAGGGGGACAACGGCUGGAAACGGUCGCUAAUACCGCGUAAGCCGUAAGGUGAAAGGCCACGGGAGUGGCUGCCGAUGGAUGGGUUCGCGUCCUAUCAGCUGGUUGGUGGGGUAAGGGCCUACCAAGGCUAAGACGGGUAGCCGGUCUGAGAGGGUGAUCGGCCACACUGGAACUGAGAUACGGUCCAGACUCCUACGGGAGGCAGCAGUGGGGAAUAUUGGGCAAUGGGGGGAACCCUGACCCAGCGACGCCGCGUGAGGGAAGAAGGUUUUCGGAUCGUAAACCUCUGUUGUACGGGAAGAAGGAAGUGACGGUACCGUACGAGGAAGCCCCGGCAAACUACGUGCCAGCAGCCGCGGUAAUGUCUGUACU
rnacentral:rRNA from 1 species